rnacentral:rRNA from 1 species
UACGUAGGGGGCAAGCGUUGUCCGGAUUUAUUGGGCGUAAAGAGCGUGUAGGCGGCCAGGUAGGUCAGCUGUGAAAACUCGAGGCUCAACCUCGAGACGCCGAUGGAAACCAUCAGACUAGAGUCCGGAAGAGGAGAGUGGAAUUCCUGGUGUAGCGGUGAAAUGCGCAGAUAUCAGGAAGAACACCCGUGGCUAAGGCGGCUCUCUAGUACGGUACUGACGCUGAGACGCGAAAGCGUGGGGAGCGAACAGG